rnacentral:rRNA from 1 species
ACGCACGCUGGCGGCGUGCUUAACACAUGCCAGUCGAACGCUGAAGCUCAGCUUUUGUUGGGUGGAUGAGUGGCGAACGGGUGAGUAACACGUGAGUAACCUGCCCCCUUCUUUGGGAUAACGCCCGGAAACGGGUGCUAAUACUGGAUAUUCACUGGUCUUCGCAUGGGGGUUGGUGGAAAGGGUUUUUCUGGUGGGGGAUGGGCUCGCGGCCUAUCAGCUUGUUGGUGGGGUGAUGGCCUACCAAGGCUUUGACGGGUAGCCGGCCUGAGAGGGUGACCGGUCACAUUGGGACUGAGAUACGGCCCAGACUCCGACGGGAGGCAGCAGUGGGGAAUAUUGCACAAUGGGCGCAAGCCUGAUGCAGCGACGCCGCGUGAGGGAUGGAGGCCUUCGGGUUGUGAACCUCUUUCGCUCAUGGUCAAGCCGCAACAAUGGUUGUGGUGAGGGUAGUGGGUAAAGAGGCGCCGGCUAACUACGUG